rnacentral:rRNA from 1 species
ACGGGUGAGUAACGCGUGGGUAACCUGCCUCAUACAGGGGGAUAACAGUUAGAAAUGACUGCUAAUACCGCAUAAGCGCACAGGGCUGCAUGGCCCGGUGUGAAAAACUCCGGUGGUAUGAGAUGGACCCGCGUCUGAUUAGCUGGUUGGAGGGGUAACGGCCCACCAAGGCGACGAUCAGUAGCCGGCCUGAGAGGGUGAACGGCCACAUUGGGACUGAGACACGGCCCAGACUCCUACGGGAGGCAGCAGUGGGGAAUAUUGCACAAUGGGGGAAACCCUGAUGCAGCGACGCCGCGUGAAGGAAGAAGUAUCUCGGUAUGUAAACUUCUAUCAGCAGGGAAGAAAAUGACGGUACCUGACUAAGAAGCCCCGGCUAACUACGUGCCAGCAGCCGCGGUAAUACGUAGGGGGCAAGCGUUAUCCGGAUUUACUGGGUGUAAAGGGAGCGUAGACGGAAGAGCAAGUCUGAUGUGAGAGGCUGGGGCUUAACCCCAGGACUGCAUUGGAAACUGUUUUUCUAGAGUGCCGGAGAGGUAAGCGGAAUUCCUAGUGUAGCGGUGAAAUGCGUAGAUAUUAGGAGGAACACCAGUGGCGAAGGCGGCUUACUGGACGGUAACUGACGUUGAGGCUCGAAAGCAUGGGGAGCAAACAGGAUUAGAUACCCUGGUAGUCCACGCCGUAAA